AGUGGGCUAGCUUAGUGGUUAGAGCUUAGGUUUUGUGACCGGAAGGCCCCGGGAUCGAAUCCUGGUCUUUUUC
rnacentral:tRNA from 1 species